UCGAGUCUUUUCCGGUAAAGAUCAUGAUGCAAGGAGCCUUUGUUGGAAGGGAAAAGAGAAUGUGGGUGGCCGGAGUCCCAUUUUUCAUCAAGAAAUUGGAAAACCCUCAAGGUAAGGAUCUUGAACGUUUUCUCAGAUCUACGGUUUUCCUUUGUGAAUCAAGAUCUGAAAUCUUGAUAUAUUCAUCUAGGAACAACUCU